rnacentral:rRNA from 1 species
AGUAACGCGUGAGUAACCUGCCUCAUACAGGGGAAUAACAGUUAGAAAUGACUGCUAAUGCCGCAUAAGCGCACAGGGCCGCAUGGCCCGGUGUGAAAAACUCCGGUGGUAUGAGAUGGACUCGCGUCUGAUUAGCUAGUUGGUGAGGUAACGGCCCACCAAGGCGACGAUCAGUAGCCGGCCUGAGAGGGUGAACGGCCACAUUGGGACUGAGACACGGCCCAA